rnacentral:ncRNA from 1 species
CCGGUUCGUAUUCUCAUACGACAGGAAUUAAAAGGGAAUGCCGUGAAAGUCGGCAACAGUUCCCGCUGCUGUUAGUUCCUGCCCUUAAGGGCACAAAACAGUUCCGAUAAUCUUUAGCCACUGGCCAUCCAGCCGGGAAGGCAUCGGAACAGGAAUAAGUCAGAAGACCUGCCUUGCAAAAUA